CUUCUCAAGGUGAGCUGUAGCUUUCUACCACCAGCACCUGGCCAGCUGCUCGCGCCGUGCAAGUGCUGCGGUGCCGUCAGCCCUCCCUGCCUUGGGCUCCUUGUGCGCCCAGUGCCUCAGCCGUCACAAGGACGUCCCACAUCCUCCCUGUUCCUCCCCUGCAGGCCCCCUGGCUGCUGGACAUGGUGGUGUCCCGAGCGGCACCGGUGGCCUCCCUGGCACUCUCUGGCUGCCUCGUCGUCUUUCCCAAGUGAGUAUGUUGGGGGCUGUAGCUGCUGCUUGCUGCAGCUGCUCAGCUCUCAUGCCGUAGCAUUUGUUCCUGGUGACCAUGGGUGUCCCUGCCCUGCCCACGAGGAUAUGGCAUAGAAUCAUCGCAUCAUUUGAGCUGGAAGGAACCCGGAAAGGGCACCUAGUCCCACUCCCCUGCAGGGAACAGGGACACCUACCGCCACAUCAGGUUGCUCUCAGCCUGGCCCUGCUGAAGCCUUUAGAAAGCAGUGGCCAUCAUGCAGCAUGAAAAUGGGCCUGUCAGCAGGCAAUCAGAGAGAGCAACAAGGAUUGGUGGAGCGCUGCGUCCCACCGCUCACUGUCGUCUCCUCGCGUACAGGUUUCAAAUGGAGUUUGUACCCAAACCACCACCUGGGAUAUCCCGCAGGUCCUCAGGAGGCAUCCCUGCGGAGGGGAAACCAAAGGAAGAGGAGGCUUUGCCACCUCUCGCACAGGGCAAGAAAGGUAAAGCAGCAUCCAGCGCCUUUCCAGGGCACAAGCCACCAACUUGAGAUGGGAAAUCCCUUGCUGACCAUCAGCCAAGGGCUCUGACUUGCGACAAAGCUUCACUGCCAGCUCAGCACGGCCUCUUCCCACGAGGAAUUGUUGGCCUCUCCAAAACCAAGGCGCUGGCUGUGACGUGCCCCCAUCCCUGGCUAUGGCAGGAGCACCUCGGCAUCUUAGGCCCCGCCCUCCCCCAACGGAAGGAUAUGGUCCCCAAAAGUCACCCUGUCAGCUCAUCGUCACCACCCAGCUCCGCUUUCCCAAAGCCACCGUCACUAAUGCACUCCCAAAAGAGAGUCCCAAGAUGGCAGAGAGGAGGAGUGGGGCCAGAGAUG
rnacentral:lncRNA from 1 species